CGGGAUAAUUAUUGGGCUUAAAGUGUCCCGUAGCCGGUUUAGUAAGUUCCUGGUAAAAUCGGGUGGCUUAACUAUUCGUAUGCUAGGAAUACUGCUAUACUAGAGGGCGGGAGAGGUCUGAGGUACUACAGGGGUAGGGGUGAAAUCUUGUAAUCCUUGUAGGACCACCAGUGGCGAAGGCGUCAGACUGGAACGCGCCUGACGGUGAGGGACGAAAGCCAGGGGAGCGAACCGGAUUAGAUACCCGGGUAGUCCUGGCCGUAAACGAUGCAUACUAGGUGACGGCACGGCCAUGAGCCGUGUCGGUGCCGUAGGGAAACCGUUAAGUGUGCCGCCUGGGAAGUACGGUCGCAAGGCUUAAACUUAAAGGAAUUGGCGGGGGAGCACCACAAGGGGUGAAGCCUGCGGUUCAAUUGGACUCAACGCCGGGAAACUUACCGGGGGAGACAGCAGAAUGAAGGUCAGGUUGACGACCUUACCUAACAAGCUGAGAGGAGGUGCAUGGCCGUCGCCAGUUCGUGCUGUGAGGUAUCCUGUUAAGUCAGGCAACGAGCGAGACCCGCACCUUUAGUUGCCAGCAAGAAGUUACGACUUCGUUGGGCACACUAAAGGGACUGCCGAUCGAUAAGAUGGAGGAAGGAGCGGGCAAAGGCAGGUCAGUAUGCCCCGAAACCCCCGGGCUACACGCGGGCUGCAAUGGUAUGAACAAUGGGCUGUGACUCCGAGAGGAGAAACCAAUCCCUAAAUCAUAUCUCAGUUGGGAUUGUCGACUGUAGCUCGUCGACAUGAACGUGGAAUCCCUAGUAAUCGUGUGUCAUCAUCGCACGGUGAAUGCGUCUCUGCUCCUUG
rnacentral:rRNA from 1 species